AAUGAACGUUGGCGGCAGGCUUAACACACGCAAGUCGAACGGGUGUAGCAAUACAUCAGUGGCAGACGGGUGAGUAACACGUGGGAACCUUCCUCGGGGUCCGGAACAACUCAGGGAAACUUGAGCUAAUACCGUAUACGUCCGUGAGGAGAAAGAUUUAUGCGCCCUGAGACGGGCCCGCGUCGGAUUAGCUAGUUGGUGGGGUAACGGCCUACCAAGGCGACGAUCCGUAGCUGAUCUUAGAGGAUGAUCAGCCACACUGGGACUGAGACACGGCCCAGACUCCUACGGGAGGCAGCAGUGGGGAAUCUUGGACAAUGGGCGCAAGCCUGAUCCAGCCAUGCCGCGUGAGUGAAGAAGGUCUUCGGAUUGUAAAGCUCUUUUGCCAGGGACGAUAAUGACGGUACCUGGAGAAUAAGCCCCGGCAAACUUCGUGCCAGCAGCCGCAGUAA
rnacentral:rRNA from 1 species